GGAGAAGUACUCAAGUAGGUGAAGAGGCGCCCCUGCUAAGGGUGUAGGUCGGGAAACCGGCGCGAGAGUUCGAAUCUCUCUUUCUCCGCCA
rnacentral:tRNA from 1 species